AUGGCCUGGAUUCCCGUCCUCCUUGCGCUUCUCUAUCAUUGCACAGGUUCCCUCUCCCAGUCUGUGCUGACUCAGCUGCCAUCCCUCUCUGUAUCACCUGGGACAACUGUCAGACUGUCCUGUACCCUGAGAAGUGGCAUCAGUGUUGUGGGCCAAAGGAUCAGCUGGCACCAGCAGAAGCCAGGAAGCCCUCCCUGGUAUCUCCUGAACUACUGCACAGACUCAGAGAAGGUCCAAGGCUCCAGUGUCCCAAGCCGCUUCUCUGGAUCCAAAGAUGCUUCAGCCAAUGCAGGGAUUCUGCACAUCUCUGGGUUACAGCCUGAGGACGACGCUGAGUAUUACUGUGCUACAUAUUACAGCGACGCUUACCCUCACAGGUCCUGGGCUCAGACUGGACUGAGCCAGGAACUAUCAGUGUCAGGGUCUGUGGGACUGACAGUCACCCUCUCCUGCACUGAAAACAGCAACAAUGUCCUGAACAGGACCAAUGAUGGCUCCUCCUUCUCAGACUGGGUGUAUUCAAUAGCUGAUGCACAAUGGCAUACUUUGAGGUUCCAAGGAAUGAUGAAACCAAAAAUAUCACUGAAACUUGGAUGGACCUGGAAAUAUCCUGCUAAUGCAGCUGGUCAGAAGAAGGAGACCAAAUACUGA